GGAAGAGCUCAACUUUGUAAUCUGGCUGCUUCGCAGUCCGAGUUGUAGUCUAAAGAAGCAUGAUCCGCGCCGGACCUUGGGCAUGUCUGUUGGAAAGCAGUGUCAAAGAGGGUGAUAAUCCCGUACAUACCAAGGACGACCGUGUGCAUUGUGGUCUGCUCUCUAAGAGUCGAGUUGUUUGGGAAUGCAGCUCUAAUUGGGUGGUAAAUUCCAUCUAAAGCUAAAUAUCGACGAGAGACCGAUAGCGAACAAGUACAGUAAUGGAAAGAUGAAAAGUAGCCUGCAGAGGCAAUGAAACAAUACGUGAAACCGUUUGUAGGGAAGCGAUGGAACCUUUUCACGCUGCGAGGGUUCAGCCUUUCUUCGGAUUGGUGUAUUCCCUCGUUUUGCGGACCAGCAUCAGUUUGCUUGGCAGUAUAAGGGUGUUUGGAACGUGGCUCCCACGGGAGUGUUAUAGCCUUUCACUGGAUGCUGCCUCGCAGACUGAGGACUGCAGUGCGCCAUUAUGGCAUAGUCUUCGGGCUACGAGCACUUAGGAUGCUGGGCGAAUGGGUUUCAACGACCCGUCUU
rnacentral:rRNA from 1 species